ensembl:ncRNA B0563.16 ncRNA
CUGCCUUUUUACUCCGUCAAUAUGAUACAUAAGUGUAGUAUAUGUGGCUGUCCGAAGCAGUGUGAAUAAAUCA